AUUGAACGCUGGCGGCAUGCCUUACACAUGCAAGUCGAACGGUAACAGGUUAAGCUGACGAGUGGCGAACGGGUGAGUAAUGUAUCGGAACGUGCCCAGUCGUGGGGGAUAACUGCUCGAAAGAGCAGCUAAUACCGCAUACGACCUGAGGGUGAAAGCGGGGGAUCGCAAGACCUCGCGCGAUUGGAGCGGCCGAUAUCAGAUUAGGUAGUUGGUGAGGUAAAGGCUCACCAAGCCGACGAUCUGUAGCUGGUCUGAGAGGACGACCAGCCACACUGGGACUGAGACACGGCCCAGACUCCUACGGGAGGCAGCAGUGGGGAAUUUUGGACAAUGGGCGCGAGCCUGAUCCAGCCAUGCCGCGUGCGGGAAGAAGGCCUUCGGGUUGUAAACCGCUUUUGUCAGAGAAGAAAAGGUUCUGGCUAAUACCUGGGACUCAUGACGGUACCUGAAGAAUAAGCACCGGCUAACUACGUGCCAGCAGCCGCCGUAA
rnacentral:rRNA from 1 species